AGUUUCGGGUAGGUGCAAAUAACCGUCUGAUCCGAAAAUUUCCGAAUGGGGCAACCCAGCAAGUUGAAGACUUGUUAUCCUUUUUAGGAAGCGAACCCGGAGAACUGAAACAUCUAAGUACCCGGAGGAAGAGAAAACAAUAGUGAUUCCCGUAGUAGCGGCGAGCGAAAUGGGAAUAGCCCAAACCAAUUUUGUUACGGCAAAAUUGGGGUUGUAGGACCACAACAUUUUAUGUACGCUGAAGUAGAACAUACUGGAAAGUAUGACCAUAGAGGGUGAUAGUCCCGUAAACGUAAGGCUGUAUAAUAAAUAGUGGUAUCCUGAGUAGCGCGGAACAUGUGAAAUUUUGUGUGAAUCUGCCGGAACCAUCCGGUAAGGCUAAAUACUCCUGUGAGACCGAUAGUGAACUAGUACCGUGAGGGAAAGGUGAAAAGUACCCUGAACAAGGGAGUGAAAUAGAAUCUGAAACCGUACACUUACAAGCGGUCGGAGCCCAUUGGGUGACGGCGUGCCUUUUGCAUAAUGAUCCUACGAGUUACUCCUCUCUAGCAAGGUUAAGNACUUAAGGUNUGGAGCCGGAGCGAAAGCAAGUCUGAAUAGGGCGUUUUAGUUAGAGGGGGUAGACGCGAAACCGAGUGAGCUACCCAUGGGCAGGUUGAAGCUUCGUUAACCCGAAGUGGAGGACCGAACCAGUACACGUUGAAAAGUGUUUGGAUGACCUGUGGGUAGGGGUGAAAGGCCUAUCAAACUCGGAGAUAGCUCGUACUCCCCGAAAUGCAUUUAGGUGCAGCGUUGAGUAUAAGUAUCAUAGAGGUAGAGCUACUGAUUGGAUGCGGGGGCUUCACCGCCUACCAAAUCUAGACAAACUCCGAAUGCUAUGAUAUGUUUCUCAGCAGUGAGGGCAUGGGUGCUAAGGUCCAUGUCCGAGAGGGAAACAACCCAGAUCAUCAGCUAAGGUCCCUAAAUUAUAAUUAAGUUGCAGAAAACGAGGUUUAAUUGCUUAGACAGCUAGGAUGUUGGCUUGGAAGCAGCCAUUCAUUUAAAGAGUGCGUAACAGCUCACUAGUCGAGCGAUUGAGCAUGGAUAAUAACCGGGCAUAAAUUAUAUACCGAAGCUAUGAACUUUUGUAUAAAAGUGGUAGGGGAGCAUUCUAACGACGCUGAAGGUAAAUCGUGAGAUUUAUUGGAGUUUUUAGAAAAGAAAAUGUAGGAAUAAGUAACGAUAAAGCGGGUGAGAAACCCGCUCACCAAUAGACUAAGGUUUCCUGAUCAACGCUAAUCGGAUCAGGGUUAGUCGGGACCUAAGGCGAACCCGAAAGGGGUAGUCGAUGGACAACGGGUUAAUAUUCCCGUACUGCCGUAUAUUGCGAUGUGGUGACGAAGGAGUGAAAGUCUCGCGUACUGACGGAAUAGUACGUUGAAGAGGAGUAGGUAUUAAUUAAAUAGGUAAAUCCGUUUUUUUAGCUGAAUCUCGAUAGUACCAUGAGUCUUCGGACAAGUGGAUAGUAGACCUAAACAGACUUCCAAGAAAAACCGCUAAGCUUCAGAUAUAUGGUACUCGUACCGCAAACCGACACAGGUAGUCAAGUAGAGAAUACUAAGGUGCUCGAGUGAUUCGUGGCUAAGGAACUAGGCAAAAUAGUCUCGUAACUUCGGGAGAAGAGACGCCACUUUAUGUGGCCGCAGUGAAUAGGUCCAGGCGACUGUUUAGCAAAAACACAGGACUCUGCAAAAUCGAAAGAUGAAGUAUAGGGUCUGACACCUGCCCGGUGCCGGAAGGUUAAGAGGGGAUGUCAUCCUUCGGGAGAAGCAUUGAAUUGAAGCCCCGGUAAACGGCGGCCGUAACAAUAACGGUCCUAAGGUAGCGAAAUUCCUUGUCGGGU
rnacentral:rRNA from 1 species